CCACGGGCUUAGUCCUCUUGAUUCCUAUUAUGGCACAUAAUUAGAGGUGGCCUAAUGUUCACUGAAAACAAGGUUACACAGUCCAACAGUGCAGCAUUAGGGUCUGCCUUAUUAGUGACCCUCGAAAAUUAACUUGAGUAGCUCCCGUCUCCUGCCUCCAUGCAGCAGCUUGUGCCCACUUGGUUAUACCACUGCAACCAGCUCUGCUUUUUGACUUUUAAUCCUGAUUCCAACACAGCCUCAUGCACAGCGUGAUGGGGCAAGCAGUGAAAUUCAUCAGGGGAGCCACGAGCAACUCCAAGGCUCCCAAAGGCAGCUCCCUCUCCCACCCAGCACAGGGCAAUAGGCAGACGAGCCUGCAGGCUCAAACGUCUGGGUGUCCAGCUGCGGAUCUCCAUCCCCUAAUGAGCGGUGCAUUGGCAUCAUAUUCACAUAUACACUUCAAUCAGCCCACAGAUGAAGCCAGCGCCACACAUUUAUUAACAUUUGAGGUGGGAGGAGAUGUUUCCAGCGUUAUCAGAGCACAGAGCGAGGCGACAGCUUGGGGCAAGCUCUCUGGCUUCACCGACCCGGCGUGAAGCCCUCCCUGUUCAGUUCCUUGUGGGCCCAGAGGCUCACAGGGGCCGGGGGUACGGCUCCUCAGCAUCCCCCAGGCACAGAGAGCUGUUAGGGCCCUCUGGGGGCUGGCUCUGUCCCUGUGCCACCCUGAGGAAAGAUUUGGGACCACUUUUUCCUGCGGCUGGGCCGGGCGGGGCCCCCUCAGGCCGGUGCCGCGGCUCCCCCUGGGGGCGGCCCCGCUCCGCGCAGCUUGAGGCAGGGCCGCGCUGGGCCUCGGGGGAUAGAUACGAUUUUUAUUUAUUUUUUGCCGUUUUGGGGAGCUGGAGGGAGCUGCCUCGCUCCUUGUUCACCCGUGGUGAAACCAAAGCGUGAGGAGGUGGCCAGGCUCGCUCGUGGCUGCAGUGCUGGCUCCCAAAGCAGCCGGCCUGGCUCGAAGCCCUCACCGGGCAAACGGGGCUGGCAGCACCCGGUGCUGCCAGGGCUCUGGGUGCUCGUGGGUCCGACCACAACCUUGAAAAAUUGGGGUUUGCACAAAAGCCAGCACCCAGGCCAGCUGCCUCUUGGCAGCACUGAGCCCCCUGCCCUCUUCUGCAGGCACCAGGGCACAGGAGAAGGUCUCGAACUUCUCGAGCCCAGUAAUGACACCGGGGAAAGGUUCCCGGCCCUGCUGCAAUCGCUGUUUCAAUUCCUACUUUGCCGAGGAGUGAACAGCACCAGGGCUUAAUCUCGAGG